rnacentral:lncRNA from 1 species
CCCCUUCCUCCACGCCCGUCUUUUUUCGUGUCUUCCUCAGGCCGGUCCUUUUGUUCCCCCGGCCUCCGCUUCUUAGCCCUUCCCCUCACCCCGCGUAGGGGGAGGUGACCUGGGCCAGCCGUAUAACGCUCAGUGUUCUUCGGUCUCAAAUUCCACCCCGCUGGAAAAUGCGCACUUCCGCUGGGCGGGCAUCUUAAUUCAGUCGACAUCACGGUAAAUAUGUGGGCGAGGGGGAUCAGGAGAAGCCGAGACAGAGCGGUUGACAGAAAUAGGAAAACUAAGGUGAAAAUAAGAAUGAGUGAGAACAGAUGGCAACGUAGAGGAUGGGUGAGGGCCUGUUUCAAUGAGUACUUGGUAGGGAUGUCAGUGAUCUUUUAACAGUUGAAAGUGAGUUCCGUCAGUCAAUAUAGUAUUGCGUUUUCUUCCCUUUGAUGUGAUCUGUGAGCUACUAAGUAGAUGUUCCUUUCAAGUACCUCUUGUCUCUUCUCUGCAAGUGAUGAAGAAUGGGCUGGAUUGACCUGGAACCAUCUUCCAACAGAGCCCCUCUAUUCAUGAUUAAGACGUUUGCCCAGAGCUUAUUUCUAAGCUGACCCCUUUCAGCGUUUUCCCGGGAGGACCAGCUUCUUGAUCUCCAUACUGAAUGCCCAGUGUCCUUCAGUUUGCCGCUUGUGUGUGUUCCUCUCGCGAUCCUGUGCCCAUAGGUCUCUGUGCCUUUCAGCCCUGUUUGCUCAUGCAUGCAUGGAGGAGAGGAGGAAAAAUGGAGAAAGUGGAGAGGAGCCUGUAGGUGUCUGCCGGAGGGAGACGGAAAAUGGCAGUGAUGGUGGUAUCCCAGACGCUGUUUUCUUCUUCCUUGAGCCCCUGGAGCGAAGGGAAGAGAUCUCCUCUAACUGGCUCACCCAUCUGCCUCAGGGCCUGUGUUCUCUCCUCGGCAUCGACUGUGAAGUCUGUCCCUGCUCCUGGCUGCGGCUGACCCUGCGAUUGUGCCCGUUGCCGGCUUCACUCUGUGUCAGGACGGCAUGGCAUCCUUCCUCCACUGCAUCAUGUAUUUACUUUUUGGGGUUUAUUUUCGUCAGCAUACACAAAUGGUGGUGUUGCCUAUCUUACACACAAGGACCAUCACACACACACACACACACGCCAAAACCUUUUUAUGCACUCUGCCAUCUUUAA